rnacentral:rRNA from 1 species
AUUGAACGCUGGCGGCAUGCCUUACACAUGCAAGUCGAACGGUAACAGGUCCUCGGAUGCUGACGAGUGGCGAACGGGUGAGUAAUGCAUCGGAACGUGCCCAGUCGUGGGGGAUAACGCCGCGAAAGCUGCGCUAAUACCGCAUACGAUCUAUGGAUGAAAGCGGGGGACCGUACGGCCUCGCGCGAUUGGAGCGGCCGAUGUCAGAUUAGGUAGUUGGGGGGGUAAAGGCUUACCAAGCCGACGAUCUGUGGCUGGUCUGAGAGGACGACCAGCCACACUGGGACUGAGACACGGCCCAGACUCCUACGGGAGGCAGCAGUGGGGAAUUUUGGACAAUGGGCGCAAGCCUGAUCCAGCCAUGCCGCGUGCAGGAUGAAGGCCUUCGGGUUGUAAACUGCUUUUGUACGGAACGAAAAGACUCUGGUUAAUACCUGGGGUCCAUGACGGUACCGUAAGAAUAAGCACCGGCUAACUACGUGCCAGCAGCCGCGGUAAUAC